AACACACAUGUACGCACAACAUUUCUGGGAGAACAGACUACCAAACAGUCCCUGGAUACAGCUGGAGUCGAGAGGGAACCCCCACCGUCCCCCACCCCAGAGAUGAAUCAGGUGCUCUUGAUCGCCUGGGUAACUGUGUCUCCAUGGGAGUCACAAUCAUCUCAUCACCUUGCCAGUGCCGAGUCAGGUUGAUCUGAAGUCAGUCAGGACGAUGCCAGAGAGUGUAGAGUGUCAAGUCUCAAAGACAGAGGUGAAUACAGAGCUGAAGUUACAGUGGUACUUUUCCAUGCCUGCGAGGAACUGUUGCACACUAAACAGUACGCAUGACUGAACAGAACACAGAAAAACACCGUGUCGAGGCAGGAAGGACAUCUGUCUUGGGUGACUCACAUACUAACUACCAGCAGUACCUGCACAGCUUGUUUGGGGAAUCUGCUGCUGAGUAUUUUAUCAGCCCCUCCUCACCACCCAAGACCCCUCCCAUCUGGUACACGGAAAUGAAGAACAACAUGAGAGAUCACGUGAGUGCAGAGGCAUUCUGGGAUGCACUCAGAGAGCGCUCUACUCGGAUACUCAGGGAAAUGGAGACAAGGCCCUCUGAGCAGGCUGACAGAAUUACAGCUGACUGGAGGAAGCUGAUGAGACAGGAUCACCUGCAGCACUUAUCAGUUGUGAGGUUUAUGUUCCACUCUGCCCUGCGAAAUCAGGCCUUCUCUGCUCUCCUCCUAAAUCAGAGGCCUCCAUCUUUUCUCUUUGACCUGGAUAUGACUGAGGGAUCCAGUCGAUACACAGCAGUGAGGAACAAACAACUAACAGAAUAACAGCAGCAGUGUUGGCAUACCGCUGCAAUCUAUUCAACUAACAUGUUAAUGACAUGCUGGAAGCUAAGUCCAGGGAAAAUUGUAAAUUGAGAAUAGCAAAGAAAGUAACAUACUAAAACGGCAUGAAUCUUGAUACAGUGUUCCAUUUUCAUCUUUUAACGUAGUAAUUUUUAGAAAAUGCACCAUCCAGGAUCAUUUUUGAGUUCUGUACCUUGCCUUGGAACCUGUUUGUCACUGAGUGGCCAAAAACGUUACAUCCAUAAACCCAAGUGGUGAACCCGUUAAAAAUGAAUGAGCAUUUUCAUCUUACAAAUUAUUGCACAUGUAUGCCACAAGGGGGCAGUGGGUCAUUGGUGAGCUGUAUAACACUGCAGUAUUCCCUUCAUCUUUUCAGAUGUUUUGACACAAUUGUGAUCUAUUUACGCAAACCACAAUGGGCACUAUCGUUAUCACUGUCACAGAUGUUAUUAAUUACACACAAAAUCACUCUUUACAUGCCAGCUUGAAUUUAUUAUACCCCCAAGAGAGCUCUACCAUUAUGCAAAAUUUGAUUUAGAGGUGAAAAAGAGUUGUUUGCAAAGUGUCUCUCAUCCUGAACUUUAUGUAUACAUGAACUUUAUGUAUACAUGUAUACAUAUGUAUACAUAAAUUUUUCUCAAAUUUACACCCCAGUUUUUAUAUCUAUAUGUCUAUAUUUUAUAUCUGGAAAUACAAAUUAAACUUGUAGUGAUGACAAAAUAGGACUGGUAUUAAAUAAGAUUUAAUGAAUAAGGUUUAAUGUUUAAAUGGUUUAAAUGGAGAAUUAAUUAGGUUUCAAUAACAUUUAAAAGUUUAUACCUCAAUGUUAUUUUAUAAAAAGGAAAAUAUUAAAAUGCCUAAAUUUCUUGUCAUGGAUUAUAGUGUUCUGGUAUUAAAGUUGUUUUUUUUUCUACCUUCUUAAACAAUAUUCCUCACACAAGUAAAUGUUUCACAAUAUAUUUUUUUGAGAAAUUGAUAAAAACUAAUGUUAAAUAUGUGUUGAUUUCCAAAGCAUUCCUUUUGCAGCACCUCUGCAUGGCUUCAUUAUUUACUUCUGUAAGAUCACUGAUGUAUGCAUCAUAUUAUUGGUUCCUUAUGACAAUAUAUGGGAAAAAAUUUGGCAAGACUUUUGCAAAUGUUAAUUCAGGAUAAUCUGUAACAAGAAUUGACUUUAGGCAGUUAGAAAAGUCUGUAAGAGUCCAAAACCCCUCACAAGGAAAAUGAAGCUAUUUCACCAACUACAGUAUUUAGUUUGUUCAUUAUUCCUCAAGAUCCGGCACUCUUUCAGAUUCUGUGCGUGCUUCUCCAUGACUGUGCAGAAAGCAUAAGGAAUGUUUAAGGAUGCUUUUAGUUUUGACAGAUAGUUUGUACAUGUUUUAUGGGCAAUUUAGAAAAGGUUUGCACUGUAUUUCUUUUUUCAGUGAAAGCAGUGAUGUGUUUUGGACACUAAACUAAUGCUUAAUAAGCUCUGUUCAAGUUCAAGAUACGAAGGACAUUUGUGAUUAAGCUGUUUCCAGUGGCAACUAAUGAGAGUGCCCAUUAAUAAAACAUUCUUUCUGUCGAUUAAACACAGUUCGAAUUAAUUUAAACUCUUAUCAAACCUAAUCUGCAUCAUUUAAUUUGUAAACACCACAACAGUAAACUCUGGCAGUAAAUACACAGUAGCUCUGUGAAACACUAUGCAUUCCAAUACACUUACAUUUGCAUUAAACUGAAAUUUGACUAGGC
ensembl:lncRNA